rnacentral:rRNA from 1 species
UGGGGAAUUUUGGACAAUGGGCGCAAGCCUGAUCCAGCCAUGCCGCGUGCGGGAAGAAGGCCUUCGGGUUGUAAACCGCUUUUGUCAGGGAAGAAAUCUUCUGAGUUAAUACCUCGGGAGGAUGACGGUACCUGAAGAAUAAGCACCGGCUAACUACGUGCCAGCAGCCGCGGUAAUACGUAGGGUGCAAGCGUUAAUCGGAAUUACUGGGCGUAAAGCGUGCGCAGGCGGUUUUGUAAGACAGAGGUGAAAUCCCCGGGCUCAACCUGGGAACUGCCUUUGUGACUGCAAGGCUUGAGUGCGGCAGAGGGGGGAUGGAAUUCCGCGUGUAGCAGUGAAAUGCGUAGAUAUGCGGAGGAACACCGAUGGCGAAGGCAAUCCCCUGGGCCUGCACUGACGCUCAUGCACGAAAGCGUGGGGAGCAAACAGGAUUAGAUACCCUGGUAGUCCACGCCCUAAACGAUGUCAACUGGUUGUUGGGAAGGUUCCUUCUCAGUAACGUAGCUAACGCGUGAAGUUGACCGCCUGGGGAGUAC